rnacentral:rRNA from 1 species
GCGUAUAUUAAAGUUGCUGCGUUUAAAAAGCUCGUAGUUGUAUCUCAGUUCAUGUCAAUUGGUCAAUCACUUAUUAGUGAUUACUUUUUGACUGAACAUUGAACCGAUUUGUUUUCUGAUGCUCUUUACCGAGUGUUAUUAACGAUCGGGAUCUUUACUUUGAAAAAAUUAAAGUGCUCGAAGCAGGCAUUUCGCCUAAAUAUUCUUGCAUGGAAUAAUGGAAUAAGAUCUAGGUUCUAUUCUGUUGGUCUUUUGAACCUCAGUUAAUGAUUAAAAGGGACAGACGGGGGCAUUCGUAUUGCGGCGCUAGAGGUGAAAUUCUUGGACCGUCGCAAGACGAACUAC